GCUUCCGUGGUCCAAUGGUUAGGAUUCCACCCUUCCAUAUCAAUGAUAGGUGGAGGUUAGUCUAUUUAAUACAAACUUUGUAAUAUACUCAUACUUACAUUUACACUAUCAGGUUCGUGUUCGAUUCACGGCGGUUGCA